rnacentral:rRNA from 1 species
CGGGAAGAGCUCAAAUUUAUAAUCUGGCACCUUCGGUGUCCGAGUUGUAAUCUCUAGAAAUGUUUUCCGCGUUGGACCGCACACAAGUCUGUUGGAAUACAGCGGCAUAGUGGUGAGACCCCCGUAUAUGGUGCGGACGCCCAGCGCUUUGUGAUACAUUUUCGAAGAGUCGAGUUGUUUGGGAAUGCAGCUCAAAUUGGGUGGUAAAUUCCAUCUAAAGCUAAAUAUUGGCGAGAGACCGAUAGCGAACAAGUACCGUGAGGGAAAGAUGAAAAGCACUUUGGAAAGAGAGUUAACAGUACGUGAAAUUGUUGGAAGGGAAACGCUUGAAGUCAGACUUGCUUGCCGAGCAAUCGGUUUGCAGGCCAGCAUCAGUUUUCCGGGAUGGAUAAUGGUAGAGAGAAGGUAGCAGUUUCGGCUGUGUUAUAGCUCUCUGCUGGAUACAUCUUGGGGGACUGAGGAACGCACUGUGCCUUUGGCGGGGGUUU